rnacentral:lncRNA from 1 species
UCCUUAAGGCGUAGUGAAGUGGAAUUAUUAUUUUUGGAAUUCUUUUUCUGAUAUUAGGGUUAUUCUUUUCAAAAUUAGAUUAAGGUUUUAAAAAUUAAAUUAAGGGUAUUGUUGUCUGAAGGAUUGAUCGUGGUUUGGGAGGGAGAUCUGCAAGAUUGGGAAGUACACAAGUAGAGGAAACCCUCAACUCCUCCAAUCGCAACAUCAGAAAAACCAAGAACAGAAACCCUAAAGAAAAAUUCCCAAAUUCAGAAACCCUAAAACAAACCCCCAAAUUACAAGAUCAAAAUCCUCAACCUAUAGUUGCCAACCUGCAGAGAAGAAAUAGAAACACAAUAACAACCCCAAAUCAAGAGCCAAUAAUGAGCAUAGAAAGGGGGAGCCCUAAAGCUGCGAAAAAAGGAGUUCGCGUCCUAGCAACCUGAACUCGCAUCCCCAACAUGCAAAAACCCCCAACCAGAACAAAGAAAGAUAACAGAAAGGAAGUCUUCACUCCUUGUGACGAGAACCAAAAUGAGAACAAAACAAAAGAGAAGAACCCAAAACUAGGUUUGUAGUCAAGGAAGACAACCCAAAGUUGAAAAAAAAAGUUGUGAUUAGGGUCCUAUGAAUCUUCCAAGAGGAUUAACUAAAACUUAGAG